UCGAGAAUUUUUCUCAAUGGGGGCAACCCUGAAGGAGCGACGCCGCGUGGAGGAUGAAGGUUUUCGGAUUGUAAACUCCUGUCAUUGGUGAACAAGAUGGCCUGGUUAACUGCCGGGUUAUUUGCUAGUAGCCGAAGAGGAAGGGACGGCUAACUCUGUGCCAGCAGCCGCGGUAAUACAGAGGUCCCGAGCGUUGUUCGGAUUCAUUGGGCGUAAAGGGUGCGUGGGCGGCGGGGCAAGUCUGAUGUGAAAUCCCGGGGCUCAACCCCGGAACUGCAUUGGAUACUGCUUUGCUAGAGUACUGGAGAGGGAACUGGAAUUUACGGUGUAGCAGUGAAAUGCGUAGAGAUCGUAAGGAAGGCCAGUGGCGAAGGCGAGUUCCUGGACAGUUACUGACGCUGAGGCACGAAGGCCAGGGGAGCAAACGG
rnacentral:rRNA from 1 species